AUACCAUGAUGAGGGCACUUUCAUAAUAAUUCCUUAAAUUAUUCCAUUGCCUCAUAUAAGGACUCAUCAUCAUAUUACUAAAUCAUAGUAAUUUCAUUUAUGAGCUU
rfam:Gossypium raimondii Chr04_contig_910, whole genome shotgun sequence.